rnacentral:rRNA from 1 species
CUCAGGAUGAACGCUAGCGGCAGGCUAACACAUGCAAGUCGAGGGGCAGCGCGAGUAGCAAUACUUGGCGGCGACCGGCGCAAGGGUGCGUAACGCGUGAGCAACAUGCCCGUAUCAGGGGGAUAAUCCAGGGAAACUUGGUCUAAUACCCCAUAGUAAUUUUGUAAGGCAUCUUAUAAGAUUUAAAGCUUUGGUGGAUACGGAUUGGCUCGCGUGACAUUAGCUGGAUGGUAAGGUAACGGCUUACCAUGGCUAUGAUGUCUAGGGGUUCUGAGAGGAAGGUCCCCCACACUGGAACUGAGACACGGUCCAGACUCCUACGGGAGGCAGCAGUGAGGAAUAUUGGACAAUGGAUGGAAAUCUGAUCCAGCCAUGCCGCGUGAAAAGGAAGGAGGUCCUAUGGAUUGUAAACUUCUUUUGUAUGGGAGCAAUAAGGCCUACGAGUAGGUUGAUGAGAGUACCAUACGAAUAAGCACCGGCUAACUCCGUGCCAGCCGCCGC